rnacentral:lncRNA from 1 species
GAAAGAUGGUGUUCCACUAUUUUUCUAUUAGUACUAAGUGUUCUGUUGCUACAAGAAGGUUGAGAACCAUUGAUCUAGAGAUAUGCCAGCAACUUCAGCCCCCUCUACAGGUAAACCAAACUGCCAAUCCUACAAUGGGGGGCAGAGAAGCAGUCCUGAAAAGAAAUUUUUAUCAUCCAUGUGCCAAAAACAAACUGGAGGAAACAAAACAGUCACUACUUGGUUAUCCUCCAAUACAAGUGAAAUGUUAACUAUGACAAGUUUCACUUGGUGCCUUGAAGGGAUUAUUCAGAACGUUGCAUUUUUUUUACUACCCCAGUGCCGCUCAUGUCUUAGCAUAAU